AUUGAACGCUGGCGGCAGGCCUAACACAUGCAAGUCGAGCGGAGCGGCGGACGGGUGAGUAAUGCCUAGGAAUCUGCAUGGUAGUGGGGGAUAACGUCCGGUAACGGGCGCUAAUACCGCAUACUCUCAGAUGAGCCUAGGUCGGAUUAGCGAGGUGGUGGGGUAAGGGCCUACCAAGGCGACGAUCCGUAACUGGUUUGAGAGGAUGAGCAGGCACACUGGAACUGAGACACGGCCCAGACUCCUACGGGAGGCAGCAGUGGGGAAUAUUGCACAAUGGGGGCAAGCCUGAUGCAGCCAUGCCGCGUGUGUGAAGAAGGCCUUCGGGUUGUAAAGCACUUUUAGCGGGGAGGCGUUACUCGCAGAAUAAGCACCGGCUAACUCCGUGCCAGCAGCCGCGGUAAUUC
rnacentral:rRNA from 1 species